CUGAAAACACCUGUGGAUCAGAGGACAUGAGAGGUGGAAGGAGGCUUUGUUCUCUCCUGGAGUUAUUUUGGGUUCACUGUUUUGUUUGUUACCAUCUACUCUGAUUACCUUCAACAUUGACCAGGAGAUGCACUUUGUCCGCUUGGCCUGUUGUGGAAACAGCAGCAGGCUGGGGCCACAGUUCUCAUCACGUAUCGUCAUCCACCAGGCUCUGGUUCCUCUCCUCCUCUUCCUCCACCCUGGACUCCAGGUCAUGAAGGAUCUCCUCCAACUCUUGCUUCCUAGAAAGCAGACGAACUCUCAUCUCUUCGGCCUCGGCGAACAGCUCCGUCUCCGCGUGGAGUUGCUCUGCUAGGAUAUUCUUCUCCUCUAUGAGCUGGACAGAGGGAACAGUUUGAAAUAACUUAUCCAGCCUUAUUAGCUACGAGCUCAUUCUCCACCUUGAGCUGUCUCUCCUUCACUUUUAUCAGCUCCUCGUCUUUGGCUUGCAUCUCCUCCUCCUGCCUGGUGACCUGCAGCAGAGGCUUCACCUGAGAGAGAGCGAGAGAGAGAAUCAACCAGGGUUUAAUACCCCACACAAUGCAAUUUAAUAACUCUUUCAUGGUCAUACUGGUCAAGGAAUGAAAAACACCAGUAGGGUUUACCUUUAUUGACAUCUAUAAUCACAUUUUUGUCAGCCCUUCCCAGUAGUAUAACAAAAAUAAAAUAAUAAAUUCCUAAAUGAGUAGCAGAAUGUAUUAAGCAAUGAAAAAAAUCUAUCAAAUGAAUUUCAGUAAAAAAAUGUUAUGAUUAGAUGAGCAAUUUUGACAAUAUUUAGUAGUAGCAACAGUGUUUGCUGCGGGUCGCAUAGCGUCGACUUAAACUCCACAAACAGCUUCCUGUUUUUACAAUCCACUCUGUCUAGGGCUCACUUUAGUUUAUAGGUGUAUAGCGUCUCCCAACAGCCCGCAAUCACAAACAAAAAAACAAUGUCAAAGGCAAGCAGGGAAAAAUAUUCAAUAUAUCGAUAUUUUAUCAAAUAAAUUUUAUUUUUUUUCUUACGAACCUUUACACAGCAACUCAGCAAACUCAGUUUCCUGAUGAGGACUAGCGGACACAUUUUAGUAUUCUUUAUCGUCUGUUUAGUCUUUUAUUUUAACUGAAGACAUUUUUGAGGCGUCAAAUCACUAAUUUCUGAAAACGCUCAGAUCAUCAGUUUGUUGGAGGGGUUUAGCUGUCAGGGUUCUCACCUUGGUGAAGAGCCUCCACCACUGCCAGUGUCGCAGCUUCAAGUAAGCAGCACAGUUCCUCUGAAGGACCUUUAGGGCACUCAACUGCUGCUGCUUCUUAGCAAAGGCCCUAUGGGAAGAAGACAAUGGUACAAUAACAAGCGACAAAUCGGUGUCUGGGAAAACCCAAGUUUUGAAAGUCAUAUGAAGUCCAAUAUUCUCUUUUAGCUCUUUUUGGUCACUACCAACUCGUGAGGGAAAUAUCUGGAUCUUUAGCUGCUAAAUGCUUCAUUAUGUUCACCAGCUAGCUGCUAACUGUAUCUGUCUGAUGUUUCCUGCUGCGGCUGUAAAUAACGCUAGAAGAGCCGCGACAGUGAACCAAAGCAUUAAAGUUUAGGUCAGACAGCUAAACAAGAAGUUGAAAUUCACAAUAAAGCUCCGUAAAUCUAAGCAGAGCUGCAGAUUCAGGUGACAAUUCUCUGUAGGUUCGUCACUACCAGUAACCUUCACAGUAUCACAUUACUUUCAUAUUGUCAUUUGAUACAUUGUUUCCGGGGGUAGUUUGAGCAAUGUGAUGCAUACUGGGAAUUCAAACGCAGAUAUAUGUUCAUACCUAAGAAAUAGUUAGAUACAAAGAUCUGACACUCACUUGCGUGCCAAGUAUCCACGGCACACAGACUGGAAGUAAAUGAUGAUGUCAGUGAUCUUCAGAUCUCUCUCCUCCUCCAGGUGAGCCAGAACACCAGUUCUGAAGAAGAUCUUACUCUGACCAAUACGGAACAGGUUCGGGUCCAGCUCCAGGGCUCGGAUCUAUA